CGCGAAUUCGCCCUUCGGGGUGCCCAGGCGCGAAAACUUUACAAUGCUGGAAACAGCGAUAAGGGGACCUCGAGUGCCAGGUUACAAAUCUGGCUGUCGUGAUGCCUAAAAAGCAUUGCAUAGCAAGGGCCGGGCAAGACCGGUGCCAGCCGCCGCGGUAACACCGGCGGCUCGAGUGGUAACCGUUAUUAUUGGGUCUAAAGGGUCUGUAGCCGGCCGGAUAAGUCUCUUGGGAAAUCCAGCAGCUCAACUGUUGGGCUUUCAGGAGAUACUGUCUGGCUCGAGGCCGGGAGAGGUGAGAGGUACUUCAGGGGUAGGGGUGAAAUCUUGUAAUCCUUGAAGGACCACCAGUGGCGAAGGCGUCUCACCAGAACGGACCUGACGGCAAGGGACGAAAGCUAGGGGCACGAACCGGGUUAGAUACCCGGGUAGUCCUAGCCGUAAACGAUACUCGCUAGGUGUCGGCCACGGUGCGACCGUUGUCGGUGCCGUAGGGAAGCCGUGAAGCGAGCCACCUGGGAAGUACGGCCGCAAGGCUGAAACUUAAAGGAAUUGGCGGGGGAGCAC
rnacentral:rRNA from 1 species